AUGUUCACUCGUUACAAAUAAACUAUGUAUAUCACCCAUAACGAUGUUUCCAUUGUACAGGCCUUGCGGGCAGCGGGUGGUGGGAUCGCGUGAGUCGCGGGCAGGAACAGCUCCAUCCUAUGCUCAAGUCUCUGCCCGCUAGUGAUCCGAACAGCAGCCUCCCCUCAUACCACGACCCAUUCUGGUUGUUACCAGGACUGCCAACAUUACGCCUGGCUUCCCUGAGACACCCCGAGCUGUCCCUCGCAUGCCUCACCUGCAUGACGUCAAACGGAGAUGCCCAGCCCUCAGGAGUCACGCAGCCUCCCACGCCCUCAGCCUCUGUCCUGGCCCACGCUGCUCUGAUACCUCUUGCUUUACGUUCUGACAAGAAAAAUGGUGAAUAUAUAAUGGAGCAAGGUGUACACUGGGCAGGUGGAUUCAAGAGACGAGGGGCGGCAGGCACGUGUUGGGUGAGGCACCUCACACUGACGCAGGUGCUCCAUUAAGACGCGUGGAGCCAAACAGGACCUACUAAAAAUAUAAAAUCACGAUAUAAAAAAAAAAAAAGAAUUCUUAAUCAGCGAAAAAAGAGGCUAGAAAAUUUAAUAAAUAUCAUCACUUUUUAUAACUUCUUUAACAGCCUGACUGUCCAAUGACCUACUUCUGCAAUAUAUAAUAAAGUUAUAUAAGAAAACUUAACACACACACACAAAAAAAAAAAACAAUAGAGGAAAAAUAAGCUUGAAAAUUAAAUACUAAUUUUCUAGCAAAUUUUUAACAUCUUGCCUAAGGCAUGGCAGUCUGUGAUGAUGCAGCUCCCUUACUGACUACUCAUCUGCACAGGACAGGAGAGUUACUUUGAAUUUAUUUAUAGGCAUACUAGGCUAACAAUCCCCUUACAGAGAGGAUGCCAAGACAACACCAUGCCUUAGUGGAGGAAUAUAAAUACAGAGGAGCAAGAUGAGUUCCUAGCUCCUUCAAUAAUGUGCCUUUGAAUUCCUUUCCAUGAAAAGCAGGGAACAUGUUGGUUGUAUUCUGUGAGGCCAGCCAUGGAGUGUUCUCCCUCCAGACUGUUCUCCCUCCCAGACAGAUACUACUUUAAAUGAUAAUUCAUGAAAAAGUUAUAGCUUUACACACAUUUUAUUGAAACAUUAAUAUAGUGAUAGUAAUGAAUAAUAUACAGAAAAUACAAUAUGUACAGUUAUAUAGGCAGGAAUACAUAUCAGUUUGUCUUCCACAGGGCACUGUAGAAAUGCUAUCCUAUAGAAUACAUCACAAAGUUGGUGUCACUUAUGAACUUCCACCAUGAAGAGGUUCUCCAGCCAAGCACCAACCAUCCAUGGAUGCAAAUGUCCCAAUGCAGUUUUCAGCUUUCCUUGACAAACUCUGAACAAGACUGAGGAAAGCACUAUGUGACUACCCCAAGAGAGCCCACAACACUUGUUCAUUGUUGUAAAGAGCAUCAGAAGAAUGAGGGGUACAAAUGUAUCAACCUCCUCUACAUUGUUUUACUUCAUAGGUAUUUUCAAGACAAAAACAAAAUCUCAGAAUUAUAGACUUGGAAUAUAGCUUCAUUCCUUUCCCUAUGGAAUAUGAUUGGCCUUUGAUCAAAGAAAAUAUCAGAAUUUCUAUAAAAGUAUGGCACACUACUACACUUUAUCAAUUCUAAGAUUUCCAUCAGUAGUAUUCAUUGCUUUGUUCACUGUAGCAACUUAUUCUCUCACUGGUCUGAUGACUACUUGCAGCAUUACAUAUCAUGAGAAAAAUCUACAUAUCAUAAUACAACCUAUUGGGUGCCUCAAUCACUCACUGAGAAAAGCUUUUAGAGUAGAACAAAAAUCACAAAUCUCCAUACACACAGUUUCCCUGACCACCUUCCACAAGCAGCAUGAAGAUGAGCUGAAGAUACCCUCAGUCAGGGAUGCAUCAGCCACAGGCACUGCAAGGGUUAUGCACCAACUGUGCAGCAUUCAUAGUUAUGAGUUAAAUAAUUGAAUAGCUGGGUAUUUCUUUCUACAUGUGAUGAGAUGCAAUCUAUUUGUCAUGUGCAAAUACAACAAUCUCAUGUUGCAGUUGCUUAAAAAUAUUGUAGUGUGUUUGUCAGUGCAUGCAUAUCAGCUUACAACUUACUAUAGUUCACCUACAAAAUUGUGUUUCCAGUCAUGAUUGUGGCUCACACUCAUACUUAUUUCAAGAACAACCAUUCAGGUAUGAUACCCCUCUUAGUUUUUACACUUGAAUUAGUAGGAAUGCAUGUAAAAUAAGAUGGGUAUAAGAAACAAUAUAAUCCUUCCAGAUCUGACAUAAGCAUCAGAGAUGUGGACAUGGAAUGCAGCACAAAACCUGCAUAUAUGGAAUACAUGGAGUAAGGUUAUAUGGGAGGAGCAUGAGGGGUGCUGAGGUGAAACAGAGACAGCAAUGUGGAUUCAUGUCAGAACCUUGGCAUGAGUCAAACAGUAGAAGGAAUAGAUUGUAGAGUGGAUGGAUGGGUAAGAUGUGGUAAGAAUGAAUGAGAUUGUGAGGAGAGUGCAUGAGUGGAAGUGAGGGGGUAAAAUGUGAGAGGAAGGCCACCCACCAGUUAAACUGGCAAAUAGAGUGGAUGAGUACUGGAGGGAAAGAGAUGACAGGUGAGACUCAAAACAGAACAUGCAAUGAGGGAAUGCCAACUCAUGAAAAGGCGGACUCUUCUGCCUUGACUAUCCUUUGAGAGAAGACCAAGAGAGAGAUAGGACAUUGGAAACAUUAACAGAGAAAGAUUUACAACAAAGAUUACAGCAGAAAAGUACUGUACCAUGGCUGUGAGCAUUUUCCAUCCUCAGAUAUUCAUCUCCAUAUAAUUCAAAUUUAAUAGUCUACAUAAUUCUUUAUAAAUUCUAAGUGCAUGAAUAUUAAGGAAUAUAAAGGUAUAACAAAGCCUGAAUACUUGCUUGAUUCAUACUCACAUAGGUCAUUUCAAACUACACGAAAGCUUUUUGAACAGAUGUUACAUAUAGUGUGUGUCAUCUUGGUCCUAUUUACAGGUACAUGUUGUAUUGUAUUUGUGUUGACAGACUUCACUGUGUGGCUUGUAGUACUUGGUGCAUGAUGAUAUUACUAACACAGCCUAUGUACAGUACAGCAUGACCUGGUAAAAAUAUUAGCAAUUAUUUUAUAUAUAUAACUUGUACAACAAAUAGAUCUACAAAAAGUCUAGCAUUGUACUCAUAUGUUAAAAAGUCAGUAUGUUCACAGUGCAGCCAUGCAACACCUUCCCAUGGACAACAAGAUGUACACUCUUUAAUUACUCAAUCUAAGUAAGGCUGUGUUCUUCAUGGGAGGACUAGCACUUCUCAGAUUUGGAUACCUGGACCUAUGCAAGCUUUCUAAUAGUCCUGUGUCUACUAUUUUACAUGAGUUUUGGACAGUUGCUCACAAAAAUACUAGUUGAAAGACACCUGUAGCUAUUGUUUGCUUCUAGAUGUUAAAGCCACUAAAACAAAUAUAUUUUUUCAGAAGCAUUUUUCCUUGUGCAAAAUGUUGCCUAAGUCUAAUCAUAAAAGGCAUGCAAACAACUUUACUGAGGAGGAAAGUUCCUUAUCAUUUUUCAUUCAUAAUACUUCUGGUGAGUGGCUUGUGUCAUGGUCUUUUCCUAUUGACAAAGGAUAUAAAACAUCAUAGAUUUUCCUGCAGCUGCCCAGAUGUCACUCUCUGUUGGUCCCAUGAAUCCAGUGCAGGUUGCUGUCUCAAGUAAGAGACACCUUCAUUUCUCCCAUCCAUCUCCUUGUAUUAUAACAGAGAGAUCUCUGUCAAGGAUCUAGGUAAUAUAUACAUGGUGAAAACUGCAUGCAUACAUUAACAAUAAGGCUUUUAGAUAUGUUUGUGGAAAAAAUAUGGGUAUCACCUCAUCGUGCAGAAUAACCACACAUCACCCAGCUGAUCCAUGAAAAGUGCUUACUUAUGAUAUAUUGAAAAUAAAUAUCCAGGAACUAGGUUAAAAUUUUGUAAACAUUAACUUUUGAAUUGAAUCAAGUGGACUCAAAACAGCCACUGCAUAUAUUCAGCUGAGCUUCCAUGAAAAUGACUUCACCAAACUCAAAAUUUGAAAGUUAAUGAAUGGAACAAGAUCCAGAGGUCUGUCCAACAUUACAUGAAUUUGAGAUUGCACAAACUGUCUUUACCUGAGCUAUAAUGAUUCAACUAACAUUAUUUUGAUUUACAAUGUAUUUCUUGGAAGAUAAUCCCACUGCAAAUUAAAAGUCAAGAUGGAUUUUGCUGUGCACCAGUCUGUUGUGUGCGAUGAUGCAGGAACCAAACAGACCUGUGCAGUGAGGAUCAGCUGUUCAUAAAUUAGCAUUUCACUGACACAGCACUACAUAUGUUAGAAAUUCAAGAUAACAAACUCUUACAAAAAAUACAUAUAUUUUUUGUAAGCUAUCUCUGACAGUGCGUGAUGGACACACUUGAGAACAGCAGAAUACGUGAUGCCUGAAACAUUUUUUACUUCUUAUUACUAAAUUUUGUUUGGUGAUCAUUACAUGAAUGCAAAUGCAUGGAUGGAAUUAAUCUAAAUAUCAAAUAACUACAUCAAAAACUGUAAUGUGGUCACUUCCAACCAUGUAGCUCUCCAUCCCAGUUCCUUGGCAAGCUUAAUAUUUACUUAGACCAUGUGAAGGAACUAAAGUACUUACAUACUCCCACAAGCAUGAAAACAUAGCUAUGGUCAUGAGACAACAAGCUCCAUAUGAAAAUGUUUCUACUUGCUUCAUUCGUGUACCUGAGCCUUGAAUCAACACUUGGAGAGUUAUGAUCCUCAAUGGGCAAUAAUGGACAGUUCUGAGUGGACAGUGUGUUGCGUCUGUGAUGUGAUCCAACAACUCC